GAUGAACGCUGGCGGCGUGCCUAAUACAUGCAAGUCGAGCGAACGGACUAGAAGCUUGCUUCUCUGAUGUUAGCGGCGGACGGGUGAGUAACACGUGGAUAACCUACCUAUAAGACUGGGAUAACUUCGGGAAACCGUAGCUAAUACCGGAUAAUAUUUUGAACCGCAUGGUUCAAAAGUGAAAGACGGUCUUGCUGUCACUUAUAGAUGGAUCCGCGCUGCAUUAGCUAGUUGGUAAGGUAACGGCUUACCAAGGCAACGAUGCAUAGCCGACCUGAGAGGGUGAUCGGCCACACUGGAACUGGGACACGGUCCAGACUCCUACGGGAGGCAGCAGUAGGGAAUCUUCCGCAAUGGGCGAAAGCCUGACGGAGCAACGCCGCGUGAGUGAUGAAGGUCUUCGGAUCGUAAAACUCUGUUAUUAGGGAAGAACAUAUGUGUAAGUAACUGUGCACAUCUUGACGGUACCUAAUCAGAAAGCCACGGCUAACUACGUG
rnacentral:rRNA from 1 species